GGAACAAAUAUCGUCCAAACGCAUCGUGGAACAGAAGUUUCGUGUGGUCAUAGUCGGUAACAGUGGCCGUCAGUGAAAGUCAAGAACCAAAAAUAUAAGGAAAGAAGAGUCACCGGCGAAGAUUCCCGAUUCACCCCAGUUGGAUUUGAUCCUGAAUCAGCCUUCUCCUUCCAUUCUAUCUUCCAGUUGAUGGACAAAGCAAAAGCCCCUGAAGUCAUCGGCGUUAAGGAUUCUGUGCCGAACCUUUACUCCAAUCCUAAUUCAGAAGCUAAAUAUUACAGCCUCUCGUUUCAGGCAUCGGUAUUAGCUAUUAAGAAGAGAAAGCCUCCCAGCUUGGUGAGCUUGUGUCUUGGAGUUAUUGGCAGACAUUUUGAGGAUAUUAUCGAAGAUCUCACCGAGAUAGCUGCUAAUUUUCCGUCCAAUAUGAAGAUGGCCCUUGUGGCAAUUGCAAGGAGGAGAAGGUUAUUGAAUGACAAUGUUAUUGUUGCAUUGGCUGAUAGCUCCUGGGAAAUCCUUGACUUGUCUGGCUCAGAGGUUUCUGAUAUUGGCCUAUUACAAGUGGUUGAAACAUGCAAACAUCUGCAAGCAGUUGAUAUAAGUCGCUGCAGCAAGCUCACGUCAGCUGGUGUAUCAGAACUCUUGCUGAAAUGCCAGUCUCUUGAAAUACUGAGAUGGGGAGGCUGCCCUCGGAGUGAGAACACAGCUCGUAGAUGCUUCGCUUUGUUGAAACCAACACUAGAGCAUGUGGAAGGAGAGUCAUGGGAGGAACUCGAUACCUCAGAAAUAGCGCAUGGUGCGACAUCCUUGCGUUGGCUUUUAUGGCCAAAAAUUGAAAAGGACCAGCUGGAGAGUUUGUCUGACGAAUGCCCACGAAUCAUAGUAAAUCCAAAGCCGUCACCACUGGGUUACAGGGGGAUUGAUGUUCCUAGAGGAGCAAGACUAGACGUAUCAUUAGAUGAUCCCAUUGUUGAAGAUAUCGACCCCAAAACCUGGGCUGUAUCUGGAUUUGUACCUAGAAAAUCAGCAUCAUCAGUUUCAAGCACAGAAGAGUUGCCCGUGGCGGAAAAGUUUAGACUUGCAUUUCUAGAGAGAGACAAUCGGCUAGCACCAAAGCGAGCAAAGAAUGCCAGACAACAUCAGCGACGUGCAGAAAAGGAAUGGGUAAUGAUGAAUAGUAGGGCAAAAGCACUAGCACUUGCUUCGCUGGCUAGCAAAUCCCUGAACAUUCGGAACUGAAAAUAGAUGUGUACUUCAAUGAACCUGUAUUUGAUCUUUAUCAGCCAAUAGAAAGAGCUUCUGUUUGGUAGCAGAAUUGACAGUGAAGAAUUAUAAGCAAGCCUCACGUAGAGUUGUAUUUAAUCUCUCACGGGUAACUGGGAAGCUUCUCUUUGCAACUGACUGUUGAGAGGAAGGCAAAUAUUCCCGAGCUUCCAACAAAGUUUGUACAUACAGUGGUUUCUUUCAGGGAGUGGAAGAGUCUAUUUGGGUCAUCACACUGUUGAAAGGGAGGCCACUGUCAAGCAAGCCUUCCUCUCUCCUCUGGUCAAUCCUCUGGUAAGUGUGUGAAUUUCCAGUCUUUUUGCUUCCCAUACAAAUAUUAUUAACGACUUUUUGAGCAAACAGUUGGGAUUGUUUCAAAGUUUGCCUCGGUAGUACAUGGAAGCUUUCAUAUUGUCUGGCCAAAGUUAUAAAUUAUAAUCCUCUUGUGCACGAGGAGCUUUCCUGACCACUUUCUUUAAAGUUGAGAGUUAUCUAGCGCACGGGAGAUACUGUAUUACUGAUCUAUAGACAGGAAGUAUAUCCACAGUGCAUGACUAAAAGGGUUCAAGAGGUCUAAGGAUUGUAUUCUUGCUUGGUCCCCUCUCAAAAAAGUUCUCUUAAUUAUGACCCCCAGUUUGGCUAGUUACUUUAUUUUGGUCCCCUCUCAAAAGAGUUCUCUUAAUUAUGACCACCAGUUUGGCUAGUUACUCUA